GUUGAACGCUGGCGGCGUGCCUAACACAUGCAAGUCGAACGGGAAAUAUUUCAUUGCGACUGCGGUGGAUUGGAGAUAGUUGUAGAGGCGGACGGGAGAGUAACGCGUGGGUAACAUGACGUCUACAGGGGGGUAACAGUCAGAAAUGGCUGCUGAUAGCGCAUAAGCGCACAGAGCUGCAUGGCUGAGUGCGGAAAACUCUGGUGGUAUAAGACGGACGCGCGUUGGAUACGCUAGUUGGUGGGGUAACGGCCCACCAAGGCGACGAUCCAUAGCCGGCCUGAGAGGGUGGGCCGCCACACUGGGACUGAGACACGGUCCAGACUCCUACGGGAGGCAGCAGUGGGUAAUACUGCACAAUGGGGGGUACCCUGAUGCAGCGACGACGGGUGAAGGAUGAAGUAUGGCGGUAUGUAAAGUUCUAUCAGCAGGGACGAUAGUGACGGUACCAGCAGAAUAAGCCCCGGCUAACUACGUG
rnacentral:rRNA from 1 species